GGAUUGUGGCUCAGUGGCAGAGUGCUUGCCUUGCACAUGUGAGGCACUGGGUUCUAUCCUCAGCACCA
rnacentral:tRNA from 1 species